rnacentral:rRNA from 1 species
CAGUCGCCACGGUAAUACGAAGGGUGCAAGCGUUAAUCGGAAUUACUGGGCGUAAAGCGUGCGUAGGCGGUGAGUUAAGUCUGCUGUGAAAUCCCCGGGCUCAACCUGGGAAUAGCAGUGGAUACUGGCUCGCUAGAGUGUGUCAGAGGAUGGUGGAAUUCCCGGUGUAGCGGUGAAAUGCGUAGAGAUCGGGAGGAACAUCUGUGGCGAAGGCGGCCAUCUGGGACAACACUGACGCUGAGGCACGAAAGCGUGGGGAGCAAACAGGAUUAGAUACCCCAGUAGUCCCUGUCUCUUAUAC